rnacentral:ncRNA from 2 species
UAUAUGUACCAGGGGUGCUGGAAUUGGCUGGCUGAGAUUGUGUCCCUCUAGACACUGACCCUUAUACCUGAUCUGGAUAAUGCCAGCGUAGGAACGUAACCGAUAUGAUAC